UUGAAAGCGAGAUAACAAACCCAAAAGAUACAAAACAGCGAACGUGAACGUGCGGUGUGCUGUGCUGUGCUGCGCCUCUCAAUUUUGCAAUAGCAAAAAUCCAAAUAAAAUAGAAAAGUGCCAGUGAAGUGAUUGUACACUCAAGUCCCAGUCGAAAUACGGGUAUAUAUUAUAUAUAGUGCAAUUUCGGUGACCGAUUUUCAGUGCGCUACCCUCGAGGCCGCAAUAAGAAAGGAAGCAUUCCAAACGCUGCGAUACAUCGACAACAGGAAGAAAAGUGCACGGUGCAAAAGUGAAACACAGAAUAUCUCAAAGAUACACACGAAAAUCGCCCACAUAUAAAGAGUGGAAAGUCCUUUCCUGUGAGUGCAGCCACCGACCGACAAGGAGGCAUACACAGAUAGAGAAAACAUACACACACAAAUAAACACACACACAGACAAACACUCGGUUAACUUUCAAUAUGGCGGAUGUCAUGGAGAAAAGCUCUGUGUUGGAUGCCCAGCCUCCAUCUCUGCCGGUCCAGCCGAAGCAGCAGCUGCAACAGGAAGCAGCACCACCAAUACAACCUCCAGCACCACAGCAGCAACCACCACCACCCCAACAACAGCAACAACAGCAGCAGCAGCAGCAGCAACAACAGAAACCAGAGCCAUCCAAGCAGGUGCCUGCAACGGGCCCAGAGCGCGCUAAUCAGGAGCAAAAAGAAGGCGACAAUGACAGCGGCGUGGAUGAGUCCACACAGGAGAAGGACCGCAACGGACCCAUUUCACCCAGUUCCCCGGUCAAGACGCCCACAUCGACCUCAUCGAAGGCUGACAAGUCGGGCAUUUCGCGUCCACCGAGUGCUACGCCCUCGAACAAAUCCGCAUCGAAGUCGCGCAGUGCCUCGAAGAAUCGCUUGCUACUCAAGACCCCAGAACCCGAGCCAGUAAAGAAAGUUCCAAUGAACAAAGUACAGGUUGGACAUGCUCCUUCGCCGAACCUGAAGGCGGUACGCUCCAAAAUCGGUUCGCUGGACAAUGCCACCUACAAGCCGGGCGGCGGCCAUGUGAAGAUCGAGUCCAAGAAGGUCGAAAUCAAGGCAGCGCCCCGCAUCGAGGCCAAGAACGACAAGUACAUGCCCAAGGGCGGCGAGAAGAAGAUAGUUACAACAAAGUUGCAGUGGAAUGCAAAGUCGAAAAUCGGCUCGUUGGAUAACGCGGCCUAUAAGCCCGGCGGCGGCGAUAAGAAGAUCGAGACCCUGAAGAUGGACUUCAAGGACAAGGCCAAGCCGAAGGUCGGCUCCAAGGACAACGUGAAAUAUCAGCCAGGCGGCGGUGAUAUCAAGAGCCACUCGAACAGAAUGUCCCACGAUAGAAAGAUAAACAUCAUCUAUGGCGAGGGCUCCAAAAUUGUCAACCAACGCGCCUGCCAGAUGAGCAGCGAGCGCCUGGAUGAGAAUUUGUAUAACGAGGAGGAGUUGUAGUUCUCCUCCCUUAGCUUGGGUAGGUAACAGUAGGCGACACCACCUAUAAGCCCAGACACUCGGUGCUAAACACACAAUACACCCACAUAGCAUAGACCCGCAUUGAUUAAACAGUUCCGUUCCGAUUUGGGUUACGUCCAGAAUGCCAGGGACAGCGUUCUGUUUUUAGUUCCUAACCAAGAACUUCGAAUUGACUGUAUCUUAUUAUUUCGUUCACAUUGAUUUUAACGAACCGAAAACAUACAUAUUUAAAACAUAUUUUUGAAAACUGUAUUUUGCUUUUAACUAAACCAUUUAACAACCGUAUUGAAGGAUAACCAACCCAAGGAAAUACAAACGCAAAAGAUAGAAAUUAAGGCACAAAGCAAAGUUGGCUCUUGGGAUAAUGUAAAGCACAGGCCCGGUGGCGGCGAGAAGAAG
rnacentral:misc_RNA from 1 species